AACGCACCUUGCGCUCUUUGGUAUUCCGAAGAGCAUGCCUGUUUGAGUGUCAUGAAAAUAUCAACCUUGACUUGGGUUUAGUGCUCUUGUCUUGGCUUGGAUUUGGCUGUUUGCCGCUCGAAAGAGUCGGCUCAGCUUAAAAGUAUUAGCUGGAUCUGUCUUUGAGACUUGGUUUGAGUUGGCGUAAUAAGUUAUUUCGCUGAGGACAAUCUUCGGAUUGGCCGAGUUUCUGGGACGUUUGUCCGCUUUCUAAUACAAGUUCUAGCUUGCUAGACAUGACUUUUUUAUUAUCUGGCCUCAAAUCAGGUAGGACUACCCGCUGAACUUAA
rnacentral:misc_RNA from 1 species